CAUUACAACAUCGCCGUCCUAUUCUGUACUGUCUGAUCGGAGUUGUACCGAUGUGUUAAGUGUGUUAGCAGUCUUUCGACUUUUAUGCCCUUGUUCACUUAAAUUUCAAAGGGUAUCACCAUGUCGGUGGCGUUUGCACCUCACAGGCAGCGUGGGAAGGGUGAUAUUACACCCGCAGGAAUACAAAAGUUACUUGAUGAAAACAAUCAGCUCAUCCAGUGUAUAAUGGACUUCCAGAGUAAAGGCAAGACAGCAGAGUGUUCACAUUAUCAACAGAUGCUGCACAGAAAUCUAGUGUACCUGGCGACGAUAGCAGACUCCAAUCAGAACAUGCAGUCCCUCCUCCCUGCUCCUCCCACUCAAAACAUGCCCAUGGGCCCUGGUGGGAUGAACCAAAGCGGACCUCCUCCUCAGCCUCCUCACGGUCACAACAUGCCCUCUGAGGGUAUGGUCAGCGGCGGCCCUCCAGCCCCACACAUGCAGAACCAGAUGAAUGGACAGAUGCCUGGUCCUAAUCACAUGCCCAUGCAAGGUCCUGGUCCCGGCCCCAACCAGCCUCCCAACAUGCCCAGUGGCUCUAUGAAUAUACCCCCCAGCAGCCAUGGCUCAAUGGGUGGCUACAACCACACUGUCCCUUCUUCCCAGGGCAUACCAGCUCAGAGUCAAAUGAACAUGACCCAGGGCCAGCCGAUGGGAAACUAUGGGCCUCGGCCAAACAUGAACAUGCAGCCCACUCAAGGUCCAAUGAUGCACCAGCAGCCUCCCUCUCAGCAGUAUAACAUGCCUCCUGGUGGUGGUGGACAGCACUACCAGGGACAACAGAACCCAAUGGGCAUGAUGGGUCAGGUCAACCAAGGCAACCAUGUCAUGGGGCAGAGGCCAAUGCCACCCUACAGACCCCCGCAGCAAGGACCCCCACAGCAGUACCCAGGGCAGGAAGACUACUAUGGGGACCAGUACAGUCACGCAGGACAGGGAGCCUCAGAAGGUAAUGCCCAGUAUGGCCAACAGCAGGAAGCAUACCAGCAAGGCCCACCCCAGCAGCAGGGCUACCCUCCUCAGCAGCAGUACCCAGGUCAGCAAGGCUACCCUCCACAACAGCAGGCAUAUGGUCCCUCUCAAACUGCCCCAGGACAGUAUCCUAACUACCCUCAAGGGCAGGGACAGCAGUAUGGAGCCUAUCGCCCUCCCCAACCUGGACCCCCACAAGGCCAGCAGCAGCGCCCCUAUGGCUACGACCAGGUGAGUAUAACUAAAACACAAGAGAGUCACAGAGACGUAUUUAUGACUCCCUCUUAGUCCGUCCCUCUUGUUAUGUUUAUUGCCAGUGUUAGUUGUGUAUUUUGUGUACCAGAGACCAGUGUGAGUGAACAUGAACAUUUAAAGUUAGUAUGAUAUGCAUGUUGCCAUCAUAUUGGGGGUUAAUUCUGUUCUUCCAAACUUGUGUGCGUGUGUGUGUAUGUUAUUGUCUUUCAUUGUUAAUUUGAAUAUUAAUAAAAUACUUCCUGGCUAAUGUGGAAUGCCGAUUCAGUGAAAUAUGAGGGCUUUAAGACGAAUCUUCCUUGAACAUGAUACAGACUGCUCUCGUGUUUAAAGGGCGAUCUAUUUGUUGCCCUGUAUUUCCUGUGGUCUUAUGUGGGGACCACAGCUACACUUUGAUAUCUUUAUCUUUGAAUAUUCAGGGGCACAUGAGGAAAUAAAGACCCGGGGAUUUGAACCCCUGACUAGCUCUGUAAGAAGCAAAGGGCCAGUAUGGAAAUUACCAGCAAUGAGAGAUGGUCACAGCAACCCACACAGCUCUGCUCUGAUCUCUGUUGAGCUUUGACAUCUGGUCAACUGCUAAGCAGACUUAAGUGAUGGCCGUAGCUCCCUGAGUUUCUCUCAGACACGAACACACAACUGAAAAUACAAGAUACAUUUUCCCCUGUCUUUGGGCUUGCAUUCUGGCCUAUAACAUGCAUUCAGUUUAUCUUGAACAUGGACUUGAUAAAGUGAAAGUUUAUGACUCACCCUCUGCUCCAGUAUGUCUCAAAGCAGCAAUGCCUUAAAAAUGGAACUGCCUUAUCCUUUAGCAUUGCAGAUUGUGACACCGGCUUACAAAAUUUUGGAUAUUGGAGAAGAUUUAAACGUACAGUUUCAGUCUACUGUGGUGCAUUGUUCUUUAUCCUUCAGCUCCUUGGUCAUAAGAAGCAAUAAUGCCAGCAGUAGGUCAAUGUGUAGGAGUGUAGAGAUGAAGUAAUGCACCAGAAGAACUUCCCAUUAGGCCAUGGUACAUGUCUUGAUGUAUGUGAUGAUGUAAAAAUAUAUUUUAUGCUUUUUCGAUCAAGCUAACUUUGUAUAAGACAUUGGAAUCUAGUACUGAAGCUGUGUUAUUUCAUGAAGUGUAUGUGUCAAUGUUUUCUUUUUUAUGAAGAUCACAUCCAGCACAUUUUCUUUUUGUAUUUCUUUGUUUUGUUUAUUUGUAAAGCUAUUCAAUUGGACCUGAUACAUUAGUGACACUGUAUGGAUUCUUUCUGUAAAAAUGGAAAAUGAACUGAAAUAAACAGAAACUUCUCAAUGGACAUCAGCAUGCAGAGAAAGUGCUCCAUCUCUAAUCCAAAAAAAAGAAAUGCCUCUGUGCAUAAAAAUGUGUUUUAUGUCAGUAAGAAAAUUUCAGACUUAGAUCUUUUUUUUCCCCCCUUUUUUUCACAAUUCCUGACCAAAUUUGUGGCCAUAUGCCCAGACAUAUAUUUGGGAAGAGACCAUAUGUAGUAGAUACAGCCACAAAUUUUAAAUGUCUGCUCCCUGAAGUCCUUUUUUUUUUUUCUGUACAAGCACCUGAAUCUUGUCCAUUGACUGCAAACCUGGUAUGAGACAUUUUUCUGAAAUAUUUUGUUUUGUUAGUCUUGACAAUGCUGGAAUCCCCGUCUCCCUCUUUGAAUAAACGUCUAAGUUGAUGUCAUUCGAAUAGUGUUGUGUGUGAAUAAUAAAGAUUGUUACUGUCAAAUAUGUAACAUAAGAUGUGAAAAUAAUGUUCUGAAAUGGAUUUUCUUAAUUUCAGUUUCAGUGCAGUUUUAUAUCACUGGCUUGAUAUCUGUUUUAUGGUGCAAACUUUAUUGAUCCCACAUGUACAGUGGCAUAAAGAAGAGGACUUCAUCAUCCUCGUAUUGUUUAUAUGGCUGUUUUAACAUUUUGCAUUCAACACCCCAUCCCAGUGGUCACAUUUGUGUCAUGGCAAUGUAUAACUGUACAAUAAAUUGGAAGAAUCUUUAAUAUA